rnacentral:rRNA from 1 species
UGGGGAAUAUUGGACAAUGGGCGAAAGCCUGAUCCAGCCAUGCCGCAUGAGUGAAGAAGGCCUUUGGGUUGUAAAGCUCUUUUAGUGAGGAAGAUAAUAACGGUACUCACAGAAGAAGUCCUGGCUAACUCCGUGCCAGCAGCCGCGGUAAUACGGAGAGGGCUAGCGUUAUUCGGAAUUAUUGGGCGUAAAGGGCGCGUAGGCUGGUUAAUAAGUUAAAAGUGAAAUCCCGAGGCUUAACCUUGGAAUUGCUUUUAAAACUAUUAAUCUAGAGAUUGAAAGAGGAUAGAGGAAUUCCUGAUGUAGAGGUAAAAUUCGUAAAUAUUAGGAGGAACACCGGUGGCGAAGGCGUCUAUCUGGUUCAAAUCUGACGCUGAAGCGCGAAGGCGUGGGGAGCAAACA